rnacentral:rRNA from 1 species
GGCUCAGAUUGAACGCUGGCGGCAUGCUUUACACAUGCAAGUCGAACGGCAGCACGAAAGAGCUUGCUCUUUUGGUGGCGAGUGGCGAACGGGUGAGUAAUACAUUGGAACGUACCGAGUAAUGGGGGAUAACUGUCCGAAAGGAUGGCUAAUACCGCAUACGCUCUGAGGAGGAAAGCGGGGGACCUUCGGGCCUCGCGUUAUUCGAGCGGCCAAUGUCUGAUUAGCUAGUUGGUGGGGUAAAGGCCUACCAAGGCGAUGAUCAGUAGUGGGUCUGAGAGGAUGAUCCGCCACACUGGGACUGAGACACGGCCCAGACUCCUACGGGAGGCAGCAGUGGGGAAUUUUGGACAAUGGGCGAAAGCCUGAUCCAGCCAUGCCGCGUGUCUGAAGAAGGCCUUCGGGUUGUAAAGGACUUUUGUCAGGGAAGAAAGGGUUUGGGUUAAUACCCUGAGCUUAUGAC